rnacentral:rRNA from 1 species
GGGAUAACACUUAGAAAUAGGUGCUAAUACCGCAUAAGCGCACGAAGCCGCAUGGAUUUGUGUGAAAAACUCCGGUGGUGUAAGAUGGACCCGCGUCUGAUUAGCUUGUUGGCGGGGUAACGGCCCACCAAGGCGACGAUCAGUAGCCGGCCUGAGAGGGUGGACGGCCACAUUGGGACUGAGACACGGCCCAAACUCCUACGGGAGGCAGCAGUGGGGGAUAUUGGACAAUGGGGGGAACCCUGAUCCAGCGACGCCGCGUGAGUGAAGAAGUAUUUCGGUAUGUAAAGCUCUGUCAGCAGGGAAGAAAGAAAUGACGGUACCUGACCAAGAAGCCCCGGCUAACUACGUGCCAGCAGCCGCGGUAAUACGUAGGGGGCAAGCGUUAUCCGGAAUUACUGGGUGUAAAGGGAGCGUAGACGGUUAAGUAAGUCUGGAGUGAAAGGCCGGGGCCCAACCCCGGGACUGCUCUGGAAACUAUUCAACUUGAGUGCAGGAGAGGUAAGCGGAAUUCCUAGUGUAGCGGUGAAAUGCGUAGAUAUUAGGAGGAACACCAGUGGCGAAGGCGGCUUACUGGACUGUAACUGACGUUGAGGCACGAGAGCGUGGGUAGCGAACAGGAUUAGAUACCCUGGUAGUCCACGCCGUAAACGA